rnacentral:lncRNA from 1 species
CUCUGAUUCAUACUGAGAGAUGUGCUGGGGCUUCUUGGGCUGCACAGAAGGAACCCAUAGGACAACUUCUCGAGACAGGGGUCCAGAGGAAAGAGAGAUUCUAGAGUGACAGCAAAAUUCUGAAGACUUAAAGUGGCAGAAACCCAAAACCCCCUAGAUUAACCCAGAUGUGGCAAGGGUAAAGGGCAGAAACCAGAUCUCCGGAGUGUGGGUGCUAGGCUCGCAGGCGCUCCUGGCUGCACAGCCACAGCUCAGCCCAGUCCCCAUCCCAGCUCCUACCUGGUAGGUACCUGUCGUGGUUGUGAUUAUACUCUGUGGCAGUGAGUGAUAAGUGAGUCUGUGUAAAGGGCUGGUUGCCAAACAGAUUGUCACUUCGAAGGUUGUGGCAGAGCUUCUCCAGGAAACGGAGGACAUAGGUGAUGCUGUUGACUGCUGGGAGGUUCAGAGUGUGCUGUUCCCGGUCAAACACGGCUGUGGAGUCAAGUACACAAAGAAGUAAGUUGUACAACGAUGGGUCGUGCCGGCUGGAGAAGCUCAGCUCAUGUGUGUCUUAGGCUUGGCAGGUUACAAAAGGCAGUGCCAGGCUGCUUGCCCACUUGUUUUCUUCCUGCUCUUUUCCUUGCUCAAGGGCUUUGAUUUUUGCCUCUAACUCCAAAGGGCGUGUAAUCAUGGGAGUGCCAGGCCAGGUCUGUUGCACCCUCAGGGCUCUGGUGUGGUCUGACUCAACCUGUGCAAACAACUAUGAACAUAAUGCUAUCUGCUUCAUCACCUGGCUGGGCCUCUUUCAGGAAGUGCGCUCACCUAGGGUGCUGUGUUCACAAGAAAUCUGCCCAACAACAGGGAGGCUAUGCCGAAAUAAUACUGCUGUUGUUAGCAGCGGCCUAGACAUACAAUUUCCAAUCUACAUCAGGAUACUGGAUUUGGACAACAUUGGGAAAUGUUUCACACUUGUUAUUUUUACAUACUAAUUUCUAUCAAAAUAUUGUCAUAAUUUUUAAAAAGCAAAAGGCUCAUGUAAGUGUCUUUGAGGGAAGUGAGGAAAUGGAAAUCUGGGGAGAUAAAUCACUCAAGAAAGUUUUAAAGAGGAAGAACUCUAGGCAGUAGAGGUGAAGAGCAACUGCAGGCAGUUAGGACACCUCAGACCCUGCAGACGGCUGCAAAGGAGGCCAGAGAGUGGUCUGGGCCUCAAGACCUGGUUUGAAUGUAUCUGCAGUACCCAUCCUCCAUGCAUCCAGUGACUGUCUGGACUUGCCUCUGUAACAUUUCUGUUGUCACCCUUCUAUAGAGUAUGUAGAUUUUCUUUUCCACCAUUGCAGACAUGAGUCUGUUUUCCCUUUUCCUGGCUAGUGUUUGGCAGAAACCUCUGCCACACAGUAAAGGCUCAACAGGUAUUUGCUAAAAGGACUAUUUGGCUGUUUAUGCUUCCUGUCAGCUGGUUCCUUAAUACCAUAGCAGCUUGCUAAGGGGAAAGGGGGGGGGGACUAUAAGGAAACAUUAGAGUAAAGACUGGAAGGCACAAGGUAGGUCAAGCCAUUGUAGCCUUGGUGGGUAAAAAUAAGAUUUUGGACUUAAGAAAACCGAAAAGAAAUAGAACACAGCAGGAAAAUAUUGUCAGUUACUGCAGAAAAAGUACCAUACUGUUAAAUCAAGCUCGCAUUUUCCCUCUAUCCUGGAAUUCAGCUCUCUUGGAUGGGUCCUAUAGGCCCAGAAGCUUAGGAGGCAGAGAAAUGAAAGGAGGUCAAAGCUCCUCUGGAGCCAGUUGAGGAAAUUCUUUUGCUGCAACAACAUAGGCCCUAUGUUAUUUCCUAUGAAAUGGCUUUAAGCAACACUUAUAUUUUCUGUGUGUGGACCAAAGUUUAGAGGUUGUGUUAGGUAUUUUUGGCAGAGGUAUUUGGUACAUACUAUAUGGUAUUCAGGUUAUAUAAGUCCAGCAGAGCCUGGGAACUGGCAGUAUGGACUCUGGAGGAAUGAGAUACGUUUGCAUUCUCCAGAGCCUAUGAGUAUGAAGUCAGUACUAGGAUCUCUCAUCAGAAUGAAGGUCUGACACUCGGGUUAGGAGGCCAAACUAGCCCAAAAGUUUACCUGAAAUGACUUCACCGCCGUGGCCCUGUUUGAGGAAGCUGAAGACAGUUUUCUGGUGAUAAGCACAGUCAAUGCAAGCCUGGACAGCCUGCUGCAGCACCACAGAGGCACGGGCUGGCCCAAAAUGGUCAGGGAGUUGUUGGAUCUUCUUCUUAUCCAGGUGGGGGCCCGUGCUGCCGCUCUUGUUCAAGUAGAUACAAACUACAGGAAACAAAGAACCCAGGAACCUUAGAGUGUGCCUGGUAGAGAGAAGUCAGAGAGCAGCUCUCUUCCAUCUGCUCAACUCUGGCCUUGGCUCCACUUGGCUCCAAGCUGCACCACCAAGAACUCAGAACAAACAAAGCCCAUUAGGAGAACAACACAGAACAGAAAUCAAGGCACAGGUCUUGUGUUUUGUUUUCUGGUCCCCUAUAAGAAAGUGUAAACUUUGAAGACUCUCAAGAAUCAAACUGCCUUAUCUCCUAACCUAAAGAUAGCUAAUUGGCAGGAAAAAAGUUCCCAUGAAGGUGGAUCUAAGGGUCAAUCUAUGAAAAGAAGGAUCAGACUAGGUCUGUCUGCUAAGAAAUGGGGACAGGGACUAUGACGAUGUUCAGUAGAUCAAGUGCUUACUGUAAAGCGUGAGGACUGGAGUUAGUACCACAAGAAUCCAUGUAAAGGCAUGGUGGACCACCUCUAAUCCAAACCCUUGGAAGGCAGAGUCAGAAGUUCCCUGGAGCUUGCUAGCUACCUAGACUAUCCUACAUUGGUGAGCUUUGGGUUUAACUGAGAGACCUUGCCUCAUUGAAUAAGGUAGAAAGAGAUUGAGGAAAACUAUUGGCACACACAUAUAAGUACACACCACACACACACAAGGAAAUAAAACACAAACAGUGCAUGUUGUUGAACAUCUGUAAUCCCAGCACUUAGGAUGCUGAGGCAGAAUUCUGGGUUCCAGGCAAGCUUGGGGUAAUAUUAAGUAGACUCAAAACCUCCCCAAAUUUAAGAGAACAAACAAGAACAAAUAACAAAAGGC